rnacentral:rRNA from 1 species
CAAUAGCGUAUAUUAAAGUUGUUGCAGUUAAAAAGCUCGUAGUUGGAUUUCUGGUGGGAGCGAUCGGUCUGGCGCUUAGCGCGAGUACUUGCAUCGUCUCCGGCCAUCCUUGGGGAGAGUCUGUCUGGCAUUAGGUUGUCGGGCAGAGGAUCCUCAUCGUUUACUGUGAAAAAAUUAGAGUGUUCAAAGCAGGCUUAUGCCGUUGAAUAUAUUAGCAUGGAAUAAUAAGAUAGGACUUUGGUACUAUUUUGUUGGUUUGCGCACCAAAGUAAUGAUUAAUAGGGACAGUUGGGGGUAUUCGUAUUCCGUUGUCAGAAGUGAAAUUCUUGGAUUUACGGAAGACGAACUACUGCGAAAGCAUUUACCAAGGAUGUUUUCAUUAA